CUGGUUGAUCCCGCCGGAGACUACUGCUAUCAGAUUUCGAUUAAACCAUGCGAGGCAUUGGUUAUUUCCAGCAAUGGAGAUGGCCAAGCCAUACUGCUGAGUAACACGUAGCUAAUCUGCCCUAGGGACAGAAAUAACCUCGGGAAACUGAGAAUAAUUUCUGAUGAAUGAUAAUGGCUGGAAGGCCUCUUCAUUUAAAGGCCCGCAAGGGCGCCUUAGGAUGAGGCUGCGGCGGAUUAGGUUGUUGUCUGGGUAAUGACCAGACAAGCCAAUAAUCCGUAGGGGUUGUGAGAGCAAUAGCCUCCAGAUGGAUUCUGAGACAUGAAUCCAGGCCUUAUGGGGCGCAGCAGGUGCGAAACCUUCACAAUGCCUGAAAGGGUGAUGAGGGGAAUCUGAGUGAUUUCACAUUUGUGGAAAUCUUUGCCGAGUUUAGAUAGCUCGGAGAAUAAGGGGUGGGCAAGACGGUUGCCAGCCGCCGCGGUAAUUUGAAGAGCCAGAACAAAAAAAUAAAAUCUGGCAAAUCAGAAAACCUGGUGCAUUAAAUGCAUUGGCGUCUGAUUGGAACAAUGGGUUCUUCAAACCGUAUAUAACCGCGCCCCUAGUGGUAGUCACGUUUAUUGGGUCUAAAGCAUCCGUAGCUGGUUCAGUAAGUCUUCAGUGAAAUCUCAUAGUAAACUAUGAGGCUUGCUGAAGAUACUGCUAGACUUGGGGAUGGGAGAGGUCAGGGGUACUUUUAGGGUAAGGGUAAAAUCUGUUAAUCCUAAAGGGACCACCUGUGGCGAAAGGCCCUGACCAUAACAUACCUGACAGUGGAGGGAUAAAGCUGGGGGAGCGAUCGGGGAUAGGAUUUGGAGAAAUCCGGAUUAUAGGAAUUUUGGGGUUUUUCAACUAAAAACCCCGGUAGUCCCAGCUGUAAACGAUGCUCACUUGGUGUUGCAAAACUCUAGAGGUUUUGCAGUGCCGAAGCGAAGGCGUUAAGUGAGCCACCUGGGGAGUACGACCGCAAGGUUGAAACUUAAAGGAAUUGGCGGGGGAGCACUACAAGGGGUGGAUGCUGCGGUUUAAUUGGAUACAACCCCAGAAAUCUUACCAUAGAAGACAGCAGGAUGAGGGUCACUCUAAAGGGGUUACCUGACAAGCUGAGAUUCGGAGAGCAGACUAGUUUAAGCUAUAUUCUGUUCUUCGAACAGUAAAGAUGCUACAUGGCCGUCGUCAGUUCGUGUCGUGAGAUGUCUUGUUAAGUCAAGAAACGAACGAGACCCAUACUUUUAGUUGCUAUCGUGAUUUACGAAUCACGAGCACUCUAACGGGACUGCCCGCGUUUGAAGUGGGAGGAAGGAGUGGGCGACGGCAGGUCAGCACGGCUCGAAAUCUAUUGGGUUACACGCGGCAUACAAUGCGCAGGACAACGGGUCGCAAUCGCGUAAGCGAAAGCCAAUCUCUUAAACCUGUGCUCAGUUCGGAUCGUGGGCUGAAACUCGCCCACGUGAAGUCGGAAUCCCUAGUAAGCGGAGGUCAUCAUCUUUCGCUGAAUACGUCCCUGCUCCUUGCACACAC
rnacentral:rRNA from 1 species